rnacentral:piRNA from 1 species
UCCCACGGUUUGAUUAUAUGUUGUGAU